GCCUGGGUGGCUCAGUAGGUUGAGCAUCUGACUUUGGCUCAGGUCAUGAUCUCACAGUUUGUGAGUUCAAGCCCCAUGUCAGGCU
rnacentral:tRNA from 1 species